rnacentral:rRNA from 1 species
AGAGAUGCACUGGGUUUAAAGAGUGCGCAGGCGGUUCUGUAAGACAGAGGUGAAAUCCCCGGGCUCAACCUGGGAACUGCCUUUGUGACUGCAAGGCUGGAGUGCGGCAGAGGGGGAUGGAAUUCCGCGUGUAGCAGUGAAAUGCGUAGAUAUGCGGAGGAACACCGAUGGCGAAGGCAAUCCCCUGGGCCUGCACUGACGCUCAUGCACGAAAGCGUGGGGAGCAAACA